UACGGAGGGGGCUAGCGUUGUUCGGAAUUACUGGGCGUAAAGCGCGCGUAGGCGGCUUUGUAAGUUAGAGGUGAAAGCCCGGAGCUCAACUUCGGAAUUGCCUUUAAGACUGCAUCGCUUGAAUCAUGGAGAGGUCAGUGGAAUUCCGAGUGUAGAGGUGAAAUUCGUAGAUAUUCGGAGGAACACCAGUGGCGAAGGCGGCUCACUGGCUCGGUACUGACGCUGAGGUGCGAAAGCGUGGGGAGCAAACAGG
rnacentral:rRNA from 1 species